CCUACGGGUGGCUGCAGUGGGGAAUAUUGGACAAUGGGCGAAAGCCUGAUCCAGUCAUGCCGCGUGUGUGAAGAAGGCCUUCGGGUUGUAAAGCACUUUCAGUGGGGAAGAAAGCCUUGGGGCUAAUACCCUCGAGGAAGGACAUCACCCACAGAAGAAGCACCGGCUAACUCCGUGCCAGCAGCCGCGGUAAUACGGAGGGUGCGAGCGUUAAUCGGAAUUACUGGGCGUAAAGCGCGCGUAGGCGGUCUGAUAAGCCGGUUGUGAAAGCCCCGGGCUCAACCUGGGAACGGCAUCCGGAACUGUCAGGCUAGAGUGCAGGAGAGGAAGGUAGAAUUCCCGGUGUAGCGGUGAAAUGCGUAGAGAUCGGGAGGAAUACCAGUGGCGAAGGCGGCCUUCUGGACUGACACUGACGCUGAGGUGCGAAAGCGUGGGUAGCAAACAGGAUUAGAUACCCCGGUAGUC
rnacentral:rRNA from 1 species